CCUACGGGAGGCAGCAGUGAGGAAUAUUGGUCAAUGGACGGAAGUCUGAACCAGCCAUGCCGCGUGCAGGAUUAAGGCCCUAUGGGUCGUAAACUGCUUUUGUGGUGGAGCAAUAAGACGUACGUGUACGUCGAUGAGAGUACAUCACGAAUAAGCAUCGGCUAACUCCGUGCCAGCAGCCCGCGGUAAU
rnacentral:rRNA from 1 species